rnacentral:rRNA from 1 species
AACGAACGCUGGCGGCAGGCUUAACACAUGCAAGUCGAGCGCCCCGCAAGGGGAGCGGCAGACGGGUGAGUAACGCGUGGGAACGUACCUUUUGGUUCGGAACAACUCCGGGAAACUGGAGCUAAUACCGGAUAAGCCCUAACGGGGAAAGAUUUAUCGCCGAAAGAUCGGCCCGCGUCUGAUUAGCUAGUUGGUGAGGUAACGGCGCACCAAGGCGACGAUCAGUAGCUGGUCUGAGAGGAUGAUCAGCCACACUGGGACUGAGACACGGCCCAGACUCCUACGGGAGGCAGCAGUGGGGAAUAUUGGACAAUGGGCGCAAGCCUGAUCCAGCCAUGCCGCGUGAGUGAUGAAGGCCUUAGGGUUGUAAAGCUCUUUUGUCCGGGAAGAUAAUGACUGUACCGGAAGAAUAAGCCCCGGCUAACUUCGUG